ACACAACAUUGUAAGUCAACUAUGUUUCAAUUAAAACAAAACCAAAAAACCCCCAAAACAACAACAACCAAAAAUGCAGGCAGCGUAGUAACACCCCAAGCUAAGCUUAAGGUACGGCUUGGUUGUGAAGCCAUUGGCCCCCAUCUUGGAACCCCCACGGCUUUGUGCUGCUGGAGCUGGAACUCAGCACGCUCAGUUUCUGCUCUGCUGGAUGCCUCCCGAUUAGGCUCCACCAACAGGGGGCACUAGAGGGAGAUCGGAGGCAGGGGUCGGGGGAAGGAGCAGGCCCCUUCCUGCGUGCUUCCUGGCUUGCCAGUUACGCACCAGGGCCCCUCCCUCUGGACCUGGACGCUGGCCGUUGAGUCCACCAGCAGCUGGUCCCAGUCUCUGGCCCUUUCCCCACACCCAGCAGCAGCCCCAUCACCCCUCCCCUCAGAGCUUUCAGCCCUGGCCCUGCUGCUGUCCCCUCCAGGAGGUCCCAGUUCUGCAGCCCCUCCCCCAAGCCUCUAGGUCUGAUGACACCCACUUCUUCCCUUUGUUCCUCCAGCCCCUGGUUACGGAAGCUGCUUCCUGCACUUAUUAUUCCUUUCUUAUUUCAGGGUCUGCCUUAUACAUUUGGAGUUCUCCAAUACCUGUUUAACCAAUUUCUUAUAUUAAAUUCUCUCUGCUAAAUAGUGUUGUUUCUAGUUUCCUGACUAGUUCAGAAAAUUAGGAAAUCAAAUUAUACGUAUACAGAAACAACGUAUGAAGCUAUGUAAAAGCAGAUGGGGAAUGGGGGAAAGUAGCAGAAGGAAAUUUACCGAAAUCCUAAUAAGUGGCUGUAUUAGAGGGUUAGUCUUACGGUGAUUUUUUUUCCUCCCUUCAUUCCUACUUUUGAGACUUUUUUUGGUAAGGUGGUUACAGGACUUUCGUACUAAGAAUAUGUAUCUUUAUAUAUUUUAAAAAAGAGGAUUUGAUGCCCGAUAAAAGACUAUGUAGCCUGAAGAGAGAUGCGCCUAUAAAACCGGGUGAAUUAUAAUCUGGGUAAUGAAAAGUGAUUGCCAAUGUGAUCACAAUUCCAUCGCGGGUAUCUUUUGGAAAAGAGAAGUGGGGUCCCAGCUCUCCAAGGGGCGAAAAUGGUACAGUUCAGAGAUAACGAAAUGAGAAGACUGAUGUGGGUCUCCAACAAAUUCUACGACAGCCUAUUGCGUAGAUGAGAACGCUGGGAGAAAGCUUGGGUUUACAGACACCAUAUUAUGCCAGAUUCCCCUCAUUUCCUUCUUUGUUGGGUUAUUAUAUGGGUUGAUCAUGUAUUCACUUAUUUAUUCGUUCGCUCAUUCAUCGAACAGACAUGAAUUACGUAAAUGUUCCACGAACUACGCUCCGGGAACUGCCUUGGCGAUGAAGACAGAAAUACAAGCUUCUCGUAGGAGAGAAAAGAACAAAUAUGUAUAGAGACUCUGCCGUGUUCCCGGCAACGGCAGCCGUGGAAAAGUACUGCUUGGAUCGUCUGGUGUGCGGGGACCCAGCUGCUUCUCUUCCAGACUCACCACCACAUUCGCACCAAGGCCACUGUCCCCCAAGCUGCUUUCGAUCCAAUGACAGAGCACAGUAGAGAGGACCAGAUAGAAAGGGUCCCUGCCCCAUGUGAGAUGACUCUACCAUGCUGUGGCAUUAACGCGACCACAUUUCCCGCCCCUUCUAUUUCCGAACAACCUUCAUCAAACUGCUCCCUGGAAGGGCGAAGCCUCACAGUUGCAGGGAUGGAUGUGAGCUGAGACGAGUUUUAAGGGCUCAGCAAUCUGCUGACAGAGGAUGAAAGGAGGGAGUUGAGGACCAGUCAGAAGAAGUUCCACCCCCAACGUCGGCGUCCAUCUCCGUGCCCCCCUGCCCUCCCCACCUGCAGGGAGGCUAGCAAAUGGAGUUCUGUCAUCGGGCGCAUUGCUGGUAAGAAGGGAGGGUAGAUCUGAAGAGGCACCAGCAGUCUUGACACAGACUCGAAAGGAAGACUCUGCUCAAAUGCUGGACUGAAAGCAAAUGACCACUUUCUGCUCACCCAGCUUGGACUAUCUCCAUAUAAGACGAAGGCUGUUUGCCAGGGGGACCUUCUGUGCUGGCCCUCUGGGGUUGAAUAAAGGCCAAAUAUUCCCCACAUCUAUUCUGCCCGAGGUUCUGCAUACAGUUCGGAGAAAUUUUCCUUUUUGGUGAAUACAACCACCUCUGAAAACAUGACCACAAAGGCAUUCAGUCCCCAGAGACCCCCAAAGACCAAUGAGACAUGGAAACAGAAAAGGUAACGUACGAAUUCAGAAAAAUCACGCCCGGCUUCCUCCUGUAACUCAAGCAAACUACUUUCAUAAUUUAAAGCAAAAAAACCCCCAACAAACCACACAAAACCCCGUAUGAAGAAUGCCUUCAGUGAAAAGGAGGGCGUGAGUCAAGAGACCUCAGGUUGGGCUCUCUCUGGUUUGGAGAACGUGGCAAGAUGAUCGAAGGUCCCGUUUCAAUGGCGGUUGGAAAUAUGGAACUACGAUGUGGGGAUCGGGGUCCCAGAAAAUGGAUUUGAUGGCUCAUAGAGAAGAGGAGGAAGAGUAUAGAGAAAGGAAUGACAAAUUCCCAGAAGCUUCUGCUCACGCGCCCGGCUGUGUCUAAAAUAACCAGCACCAACCCCUUCCAAGUCAACCCAUGUCUUCAAGGACCAAUCACUAGAUAAUACUAAGUGCCCAUCCAUUUGAAAAGAGGGAUAAUCUGCGACUAAGAAACACGCAAUGAAGGUGAUCUAAAAUGAUAACUUUGGUAGAAAACGUGCUUAAAGAUGUGUGUCUAAAUAUGUCAGUAUUUACCAUAUAACUGAGGAGUGCUUUCUUCCCUCUGAAAUUAAAUUUUGCAAUUUAAGACAACUCACUCUGAUGAAAGGACCGUUUAUUCACUAAGGAAGUUAUUUCUGUGCAACGUUAAUCAUCUUAAGCUCAGGGUUUCUCCAGAGGGAUUAUUACCACUUUGUUACAGGAAAGAAACCACAUUACUAGACUAGUAUCCUCGCUAACACUGUAAGAUGGAAUUCAGAAAUAUGAUGGGCGUUAUGACUUCCCUGUGGGCGCCACAAUCACACAUGGGCACCAUUAUCGCCGGUGGAAAAGACGGCAACCGCUUUGGGUGCAAUGGAAACGACACGUUAAUGAAACUGACCAGGCUGACGUGUUCUUGAGCGCUGAUGGAAUUCACGGAAAAAGCCUUAUUUGUGAGCAGCUUAAAUAGUUGGAAGAUCCUGACUGACAUUCACCGCCGUGACGAUGACAGACUUAAUCCCAGAAUUUCACAUAACGGUGUAGCGCGUUGAGAAAAGUGAAUAAUCCUUACUCUUUUAGACACCCAGAUACGCAUUAAGCAUUUUAAAUAAUGCUCUUAUAUCUAAAACUAUUUGAGACUAUCGACUGGGGCUCGGCUCUGGCAAAAACUGUGCCAUUGGGAGAAUUCCUUACAUAUCUCAACAGUCUCUGUUCCCAGUGAAAUGGGCAUUCAUUACGUAUUUCAGUAUUUUUCCCUUUCUCCCCGCCAGCAGAGAUUGCAAACAUGGUACCAGGAUCUCGCUUCUUCCCCGGCAGGCGUCACUAGUCAGUCUCGGCAUAUUUGCUUGCUAAGCCCAGACCAGCUUUCCAGAGAUAACACCUCAGUGAUAGGCCAGUGGGUCGGCGCUUGGGUGAAACAAAGUUGCCCUUCCUGUCCCCCCAAGAUAGCUCUACAGACCUGGUUUAAAAAGUUAGCUACGUUCCAUAUAUUCAGCUCUCUAGAAAAUUUCUUUUUAUGACUGUCAAAAGUGUUUCUCAAUAGGUUAUUGGGAAACCAGAUGUGAUUAUACAUAAUUAAAACACCACCAAUCUUUUAAACUCACACAUGUAGAAGAUAAGAUAUGAUAAAAUGGUCAGCCAACUCAUGUAUAAAAACCUGAGUGAUACCUUUCAUAAAUAUAUUUUUGUAUAAUGGAGUAAACCCGUAAGCACAGUUAAGUUUUAUUGAUCUGUGGAAUAUUAGUAUCUGAGAGGAGAUCGAUUCAUCAUACUUUUUUAAAUUCAAGCAUAGUUGACUUACAAUAUUAUAUUAUUUUCAUGUGUACAGCAUAGCGAUAUGGUAUUUUUACAGACUGUACUCCAUUAGAAGUUAUUACAAGAUAAUGGCUAUAAUUCCCUGUGCUGC